rnacentral:rRNA from 1 species
CAAUAGCGUAUAUUAAAGUUGUUGCAGUUAAAAAGCUCGUAGUUGGAUUUCUGGUUUGAUGCCCUGGCCCGCUGCUAUUUUAGUAGUGUGUGCCGGUUGUGCGUCUGCCAUCCUUCUAGGGAACGUUCCUUCUCUUCACUGAGCCGGGUUCGUGAUCUAGAUCGUUUACUUUGAAAAAUUAGAGUGUUUAAAGCAGGCUUUUGCUAUGAAUACAUUAGCAUGGAAUAAUAAUCUAGGACUUCGGUGCUAUUUUGUUGGUUUCGUAACACCGGAGUAAUGAUUAAAAGGGACGAGUCAGGGGCGACUCGUAUUCCGUCGAGAGAGGUGAAAUUCUCAGACCAAUGGAGACGAACCACUGCGAAAGCAUUUGUCCAGGGAUGUUUUCACUGAUCAAG